rnacentral:rRNA from 1 species
ACUUAAAUUGAAGAGUUUGAUCAUGGCUCAGAUUGAACGCUGGCGGCAGGCCUAACACAUGCAAGUCGAGCGGUAGCACAGAGAGCUUGCUCUCGGGUGACGAGCGGCGGACGGGUGAGUAAUGUCUGGGAAACUGCCUGAUGGAGGGGGAUAACUACUGGAAACGGUAGCUAAUACCGCAUAACGUCGCAAGACCAAAGUGGGGGACCUUCGGGCCUCAUGCCAUCAGAUGUGCCCAGAUGGGAUUAGCUAGUAGGUGGGGUAACGGCUCACCUAGGCGACGAUCCCUAGCUGGUCUGAGAGGAUGACCAGCCACACUGGAACUGAGACACGGUCCAGACUCCUACGGGAGGCAGCAGUGGGGAAUAUUGCACAAUGGGCGCAAGCCUGAUGCAGCCAUGCCGCGUGUGUGAAGAAGGCCUUCGGGUUGUAAAGCACUUUCAGCGGGGAGGAAGGCGGUGAGGUUAAUAACCUUGGCGAUUGACGUUACCCGCAGAAGAAGCACCGGCUAACUCCGUGCCAGCAGCCGCGGUAAUACGGAGGGUGCAAGCGUUAAUCGGAAUUACUGGGCGUAAAGCGCACGCAGGCGGUCUGUCAAGUCGGA